rnacentral:rRNA from 1 species
UACGAAGGGUGCAAGCGUUACUCGGAAUUACUGGGCGUAAAGCGUGCGUAGGUGGUUUGUUAAGUCCGUUGUGAAAGCCCUGGGCUCAACCUGGGAAUGGCAGUGGAUACUGGCAAGCUAGAGUGCGGUAGAGGGUAGUGGAAUUCCCGGUGUAGCAGUGAAAUGCGUAGAGAUCGGGAGGAACACCAGUGGCGAAGGCGGCUACCUGGCCUAAUACUGACACUGAGGCACGAAAGCGUGGGGAGCAAACAGG